AGAGUUUGAUCCUGGCUCAGGACGAAACGCUGGCGGCGUGCCUAACACAUGCAAGUCAAGGGGAACGCCCGAUUUCGAUUGGGUUAGUAUACUGGCGGACGGGUGAGUAACGCGUAGGCAACCUGCCCUUACGAAUGGGAUAACCCAGCGAAAGCUGGACUAAUACCGUAUAAUAUUAUGAUAUCACCUGGUAUUAUAAUCAAAGGCUGCUUUUCGGAGCAAUCACGUAAGGAUGGGCCUGCGUUCCAUUAGUUAGUUGGUGAGGUAACGGCUCACCAAGGCGACGAUGGAUAGCUGGUUUGAGAGAGUGAUCAGCCACACUGGGACUGAGAUACGGCCCAGACUCCUACGGGAGGCAGCAGUGAGGAAUAUUGCGCAAUGGAGGAAACUCUGACGCAGCAACGCCGCGUGGGGGAUGAAGUUCUAUGGAGCGUAAACCCCUGUAAGUAGGGACGAACGUUAUGUAUUCAAAUAGGGUACAUAUUUGACGGUACCUACAGAGUAAGCUCCGCUAACU
rnacentral:rRNA from 1 species